rnacentral:tRNA from 1 species
UGUCUGGUGGCCUAGUUGGUAAGGGCGCUACGCUCCCAACAUAAAGGUUCCGGGUUCGAGUCCCGAAAUAU